AUAGUGGUGCCUGGGAAGUCAGGUGAACUGGAGAGGGAUGGAAAAUCCACAUGGAUCUAAGUAAUAUGCACAGGCUGCUACAGAAAAAUUUUCCAUCUUGCUUUUUUGAAGCCAGUUUGUGUCCAGAAGAGAAUUCCUCCUCUGUGAACUGUUCCAUUCUGCUGUGGUUCAGAAUUUUCUGAAGUUUGUGGUUUCUCCAGAUUUUCCAGUGCUUUCCUGUAUCUAGUGGAAAUACUUCUAGGUGACCAAGUAAUGAGUAUCUAAAGUAUUUGCUUCUGGUAUUCUUUUGCUUUCACCUUUUGUUGUGAAUAUUUCUCAUGCAAAUCAAUCUCUCCAUUUGUGUUAAUAAUUUAGGGUUGAUUUGUGUUGUUGGGUUUUUUCUUUAUUACUUUCACACUCUUAUUUGAUUAUGCAUUGACUGCUGGCAGCUAAUUAUGCAGUUCUGAUCUAGAGAUGCAUAAAAUAGUAAUAAAAUAGUAAAUGAAAGUUGUGUUUUUGU